UUGGGUGAAGUGUGUCACUAGGUCUCAGAAGCUCAAGCCCAGACUCAGUGACUCACAGCCACAGAAGGACAUGCUGCCCCGGGAGAACCCUCAGCUCCUACUCCAGCACCACUUCUGCCUGCAACGCCCCUGUGCUUCCUGCCGUGAUGAUAACGGGCUGAACCUCCGAAACUGUGUUUCAUCACAGUGACAGAAAUCUGACUCAUCUACAAGAAGUUGACGUGUUCCAUAUCUGGCUGUUUUGUUCAAGGUCACAGAGGCCAGAAAGGGAAGGAAUUGGCUGAAGCUGGAGUCCCAUAGAGGUUUGAGGUUCUACCCAGCCUCAGGAGUCGGGGCAUGUAUACAGGGCCUGGGAAUACCAGGAGCCAUCUUAGAAUACCGCUGCCAUGGACAAGCUGGAGUCCUUGUGAUGAACGCUCUGGAGGAAGUUUCCACCAGCAAUGCUCAACCCCUGAGUGAGGUCAACAGAGGCUGCAUUGCCAGACCUCUUAGGUGUUCCCAAGCCAAGCCGUGGCAUCAGAUGUCUGCGGCCUAUCUUCUUGGCGAGCUCCCUCCAGACUCUCUUACUGUUAAUCCUCGGGCUCAAACACCGUGGGGCGGGAAGGUCUGACAUUCCCUGAAGUCCACUUGACCUGAUUCCCAGGUUCCUCUGACAAAGCAAGAGUUUGUUGACCUCUACAUCUUGGCACUAAGUGUACUUAUUUACUCAGUUUUUUCUUUCUCCAAAGGGUGGGGAGAGAGGGUGGAGCCGAAGGAAGGAUUUUUGUUGGUCAGUGAGGGGCUUUGCUAUGACUUCUGUCUGAGUUGAGCAGGUGGCCAAAGUGUCUCAGUACAACGCAGACACGACUCUCCUUCAGUCCUCCCUGAUUACAUGGGGGGGGGAUCUGUCCAAAUAAGAACACUAAGGGAGUGACCAGACUCCUGUGGACAUGGCAGCCGAGCGAUGCCUGCCUGUGCCACGGCAGGUCGCCGGGGCAGAAGCCACAUGGGCAGAAACCGAGUCCCCAGGCCUUGAAGCUCUUGGUGAAGAGUGAGGGACUCAGCACCUCUGAGAUUUGCUUUAACAGUCCUGUUCUGUGUGACAUUUUGAAUAUCUGACCGUGUGGCCUGAGCAGCUACGUCAUGACGUCACAGCUUUUGAAAGAGGCCCCUUUCAAGGAAAUGACAAACAAGGGUUUUGUUACUCUGGGAGAUCACAUUCUGGUGAGAGGUAUCAUUAUUUGUUUAAUUAAAUUAACAUUUCACAUGG